CGAUACGUAGUGUGAAUUGCAGAAUUCCGCGAAUCAUCGAGUCUUUGAACGCAAGUUGCGCCCGAGGCUUGUCCAAGGGCAUUUCCGCUAGAGCGUCACC
rnacentral:rRNA from 1 species